UUCCAAUUUCAUAUUGUCCUAGUUACAGGGGCUGGGACCAGUUUAUCACUAUGUGGGUAUAACCAAAACCUUAUUCUACACCCUCUAUGUCAUUUCUGAUGGACUGUUAAUAAAUAGAUUGUUUGCAGCAGCUGC